GAUGAACGCUGGCGGCAUGCUUAGCACAUGCAAGUCGGACGGGAAGUGGUGUUUCCAGUCGCGGACGGGUGAGUAACGCGUAAGAACCUGCCCUUGGGAGGGGAACAACAACUGGAAACGGUUGCUAAUACCCCGUAGGCUGAGGAGCAAAAGGAGGAAUCCGCCCGAGGAGGGGCUUGCGUCUGAUUAGCUAGUUGGUGAGGUAAUAGCUUACCAAGGCGAUGAUCAGUAGCUGGUCCGAGAGGAUGAUCAGCCACACUGGGACUGAGACACGGCCCAGACUCCUACGGGAGGCAGCAGUGGGGAAUUUUCCGCAAUGGGCGACAGCCUGACGGAGCAAUGCCGCGGGGAGGUAGAAGGCCCACGGGUCGUGAACUUCUUUUCUCGGAGAAGAAACAAUGACGGUAUCUGAGGAAUAAGCAUCGGCUAACUCUGUG
rnacentral:rRNA from 1 species